UUUCACAAAUGUGUUUUAGGUGCAACCUAUCCAGUCAGUUUCCUUUUGAAAGCUGAAGUACCUGAGGCUUUGGAGAGGGUAAAGGAAUUAUCCAGGGUCAUACUGGCUAAGAAGAGUGCGAAAAGUGGAGACCUUUAUCACAAAGAAGGCUGAUCUGUACAGGCUGCAUCAAUGGGCUUCCUCAGUCUCUGGCUUUUAUCUCAGUUUUGCCAAUGAAGAAUAAGAAACUGGAUGGUGCAGAAGAGUCAUUCCUGCUUGGUCCACUACAUGCUGCACUUCCUUGUAUAAAACCUCAUGGUCCACUCCUACCUUUUCCCUUGAGGUCUGGGGGUGGUGAGGGCUCUCAAACUACGAUUAGUGUAUUAUUCCUUUAGUUUCCUUCACUCUGACCACAUUUGCACACUUUGGAAAACAGUCCCAUAAUUAAACUUUCCUCAGAUUA